UACGUAGGGGGCAAGCGUUGUCCGGAAUCAUUGGGCGUAAAGCGCGUGUAGGCGGCCCGGUAAGUCCGCUGUGAAAGUCGGGGGCUCAACCCUCGGAUGCCGGUGGAUACUGUCGGGCUCGAGUACGGAAGAGGCGAGUGGAAUUCCUGGUGUAGCGGUGAAAUGCGCAGAUAUCAGGAGGAACACCAAUUGCGAAGGCAGCUCGCUGGGACGUUACUGACGCUGAGACGCGAAAGCGUGGGGAGCAAACAGG
rnacentral:rRNA from 1 species